rnacentral:pre_miRNA from 1 species
UUUGGCACUAGCACAUUUUUGUAUUUUAUUUAUACAACAAAAAUAGUGUUAGUUUCAAGCA